rnacentral:rRNA from 1 species
AUUGAACGCUGGCGGCAGGCUUAACACAUGCAAGUCGAGCGGGGUGAUGGUGCUUGCACUAUCACUUAGCGGCGGACGAGUGAGUAAUGCUUAGGAAUCUGCCUAUUAGUGGGGGACAACAUCUCGAAAGGGAUGCUAAUACCGCAUACGUCCUACGGGAGAAAGCAGGGGAUCACUUGUGACCUUGCGCUAAUAGAUGAGCAUAAGGCGGAUUAGCUAGUUGGUGGGGUAAAGGCCUACCAAGGCGACGAUCUGUAGCGGGUCUGAGAGGAUGAUCCGCCACACUGGGACUGAGACACGGCCCAGACUCCUACGGGAGGCAGCAGUGGGGAAUAUUGGACCAUGGGGGGAACCCUGAUCCAGCCAUGCCGCGUGUGUGAAGAAGGCCUUAUGGUUGUAAAGCACUUUAAGCGAGGAGGAGGCUCUUUUGGUUAAUACCCAAGAUGAGUGGACGUUACUCGCAGAAUAAGCACCGGCUAACUCUGUGCCAGCCGCCGCCGUAA